CAGUCGCCGCGGUAAUACGGAGGUCCCGAGCGUUGUUCGGAAUCACUGGGCGUAAAGGGAGCGUAGGCGGCGUGGUAAGUCAGAUGUGAAAUCCCGGGGCUCAACCCCGGAACUGCAUCCGAUACUGCCAUGCUAGAGGAUUGGAGAGGUAGCUGGAAUUCUUGGUGUAGCAGUGAAAUGCGUGGAGAUCAAGAGGAACACUCGUGGCGAAAGCGAGCUACUGGACAAUAACUGACGCUGAGGCUCGAAGGCCAGGGUAGCGAAAGGGAUUAGAUACCCCUGUAGUCCCUGUCUCUUAUAC
rnacentral:rRNA from 1 species